GACGAACGCUGGCGGCGUGCUUAACACAUGCAAGUCGAGCGGUAAGGCCCUUUCGGGGGUACACGAGCGGCGAACGGGUGAGUAACACGUGGGUGACCUGCCCUCAGCUCUGGGAUAAGCCUGGGAAACCGGGUCUAAUACCGGAUGUGACUCCAUGACGCAUGUUGUGGGGUGGAAAGCCUUGUGCGGCUGAGGAUGGGCCCGCGGCCUAUCAGCUUGUUGGUGGGGUGAUGGCCUACCAAGGCGACGACGGGUAGCCGGCCUGAGAGGGCGACCGGCCACACUGGGACUGAGACACGGCCCAGACUCCUACGGGAGGC
rnacentral:rRNA from 1 species